GUGGGGAAUAUUCCGCAAUGGACGAAAGUCUGACGGAGCAACGCCGCGUGAGUGAUGAAGGUUUUCGGACUGUAAAGCUCUGUUGUUUAGGACGAAAGUGCCUGUUGCAAAUAGUUACAGGUAUUGACGGUACUGAACGAGGAAGCCACGGCUAACUACGUGCCAGCAGCCGCGGUAAUACGUAGGUGGCAAGCGUUGUCCGGAAUUAUUGGGCGUAAAGCGCAUGUAGGCGGGAAUCUAAGUCUGUUGUGAAAAUGCGGGGCUCAACCCCGUAUUGCGAUGGAAACUGGGUUUCUUGAGUGCAGGAGAGGAAAGGGGAAUUCCCAGUGUAGCGGUGAAAUGCGUAGAUAUUGGGAGGAACACCAGUGGCGAAGGCGCCUUUCUGGACUGUGUCUGACGCUGAGAUGCGAAAGCCAGGGUAGCGAACGGGAUUAGAUACCCGUGUAGUCC
rnacentral:rRNA from 1 species